rnacentral:rRNA from 1 species
GAGCUCAAAUUUGAAAUCUGGCGUCCUCAGGGCGUCCGAGUUGUAAUCUAUAGAGGCGUUUUCCGUGCCGGACCGUGUCCAAGUUCCUUGGAACAGGAUAUCAAAGAGGGUGACAAUCCCGUACUUGACACGACGACCGGUGCUCUGUGAUACGUCUUCUACGAGUCGAGUUGUUUGGGAAUGCAGCUCAAAAUGGGUGGUGAGUUCCAUCUAAAGCUAAAUAUUGGCGAGAGACCGAUAGCGAACAAGUACCGUGAGGGAAAGAUGAAAAGCACUUUGGAAAGAGAGUUAAACAGUACGUGAAAUUGUUGAAAGGGAAACGAUUGAAGUCAGUCGUGACCGAGAGGCUCAGCCGGUUCUGCCGGUGUAUUCCCCUCGGUCGGGUCAACAUCAGUUUUGUCCGGUGGAUAAGGGCGGUAGGAAGGUGGCACCCUCGGGUGUGUUAUAGCCUGCCGUCGCAUACAUCGGGUGAGACUGAGGAACGCAGCUCGCCUUUAUGGCCGGGGUUCGCCCACGUCCGAGCUUAGGAUGUUGACAUAAUGGCUUUAAACGACCCGUCUUG